rnacentral:rRNA from 1 species
UACGUAGGGUGCAAGCGUUAUCCGGAAUUAUUGGGCGUAAAGAGCUCGUAGGCGGUGUGUCGCGUCGGCCGUGAAAACCUGCAGCUUAACUGUGGGCUUGCGGUCGAUACGGGCAUCACUGGAGUUCGGCAGGGGAGACUGGAAUUCCUGGUGUAGCGGUGAAAUGCGCAGAUAUCAGGAGGAACACCGGUGGCGAAGGCGGUCUGCUGGGGUCGAACUGACGCUGAGGCGCGACAGCGUGGGGGAGCAAACAGG